rnacentral:rRNA from 1 species
GACGAACCGUGCGAACGUUGUUCGGAUUCACUGGGCGUUAAAGGGCGCGUAGGCGGCUUGCCAAGUCAGGGGUGAAAUCUUUCGGCUCAACCGGAAAAGUGCUUACUGAUUACUGGCGGGCUGGAGGGAGGAUAGGGGCAGAUGGAACUUCCGGUGGAAGCGGUGAAAUGCGUAGAUAUCGGAAGGAACGCCGGUGGCGAAAGCGAUCUGCUGGAUCUCUUCUGACGGCUGAGGCGCGAAAGCCCAGGGGAGCAAAUGGG